GUAACGGCGAGUGAAGCGGUAACAGCUCAAAUUUGAAAGCUAGCUCUUUUAGGGUUCGCAUUGUAAUUUGUAGAAGAUGCUUCGGGUGUGGCCCCGGUCUAAGUUCCUUGGAACAGGACGUCAUAGAGGGUGAGAAUCCCGUAUGUGACCGGGUGCUUUCGCUCAUGUGAAGCUCUUUCGACGAGUCGAGUUGUUUGGGAAUGCAGCUCAAAAUGGGUGGUAAAUUUCAUCUAAAGCUAAAUAUUGGCCAGAGACCGAUAGCGCACAAGUAGAGUGAUCGAAAGAUGAAAAGCACUUUGGAAAGAGAGUUAAACAGUACGUGAAAUUGUUGAAAGGGAAGCGCUUGCAACCAGACUUGCGCGCUGAUGAUCAUCCGGGCUUCUGCCCGGUGCACUCGUCUGCGCUCAGGCCAGCAUCGGUUUUGGUGGUGGGAUAAAGGCCUUGGGAAUGUAGCUUCUUUCGGGGAGUGUUAUAGCCCUCGGUGCAAUGCCGCCUACCGGGACCGAGGACCGCGCUUCGGCUAGGAUGC
rnacentral:rRNA from 1 species